UACGUAGGCAGCAAGCGUUGUUCGGAGUUACUGGGCGUAAAGGGUGCGUAGGUGGCUCUAUAAGUAUGGUGUGAAAUCUCCCGGCUUAACUGGGAGGGUGCGCCGUAGACUGUGGGGCUAGAGUGUGGGAGAGGAAAGUGGAAUUCCUGGUGUAGCGGUGAAAUGCGUAGAUAUCGGGAGGAACAUCAGUGGCGAAGGCGGCUACCUGGCCCAAUACUGACACUCAGGUGCGACAGCGUGGGGAGCAAACAGG
rnacentral:rRNA from 1 species